GGGCGCACGGUGGAUGCCUUGACACUAGGAGUCGAUGAAGGACGGGACUAACGCCGAUAUGCUUCGGGGAGCUGUAAGUAAGCUUUGAUCCGAAGAUUUCCGAAUGGGGAAACCCACCAUACGUAAUGGUAUGGUAUCCUUAUCUGAAUACAUAGGGUAAGGAAGACAGACCCAGGGAACUGAAACAUCUAAGUACCUGGAGGAAGAGAAAGCAAAUGCGAUUUCCUGAGUAGCGGCGAGCGAAACGGAACAUAGCCCAAACCAAGAGGCUUGCCUCUUGGGGUUGUAGGACAUUCUAUACGGAGUUACAAAGGAACGAGGUAGACGAAGCGACCUGGAAAGGUCCGUCGUAGAGGGUAACAACCCCGUAGUCGAAACUUCGUUCUCUCUUGAAUGUAUCCUGAGUACGGCGGAACACGUGAAAUUCCGUCGGAAUCUGGGAGGACCAUCUCCCAAGGCUAAAUACUCCCUAGUGAUCGAUAGUGAACCAGUACCGUGAGGGAAAGGUGAAAAGCACCCCGGAAGGGGAGUGAAAGAGAUCCUGAAACCGUGUGCCUACAAAUAGUCAGAGCCCGUUAAUGGGUGAUGGCGUGCCUUUUGUAGAAUGAACCGGCGAGUUACGAUCCCGUGCGAGGUUAAGCUGAAGAGGCGGAGCCGCAGCGAAAGCGAGUCUGAAUAGGGCGUUUAGUACGUGGUCGUAGACCCGAAACCAGGUGAUCUACCCAUGUCCAGGGUGAAGUUCAGGUAACACUGAAUGGAGGCCCGAACCCACGCACGUUGAAAAGUGCGGGGAUGAGGUGUGGGUAGCGGAGAAAUUCCAAUCGAACCUGGAGAUAGCUGGUUCUCCCCGAAAUAGCUUUAGGGCUAGCCUUAAGUGUAAGAGUCUUGGAGGUAGAGCACUGAUUGGACUAGGGGUCCUCAUCGGAUUACCGAAUUCAGUCAAACUCCGAAUGCCAAUGACUUAUCCUUAGGAGUCAGACUGCGAGUGAUAAGAUCCGUAGUCAAAAGGGAAACAGCCCAGACCGCCAGCUAAGGUCCCAAAGUGUGUAUUAAGUGGAAAAGGAUGUGGAGUUGCUUAGACAACUAGGAUGUUGGCUUAGAAGCAGCCACCAUUUAAAGAGUGCGUAAUAGCUCACUAGUCGAGUGACUCUGCGCCGAAAAUGUACCGGGGCUAAAUACACCACCGAAGCUGCGGAUUGAUACCAAUGGUAUCAGUGGUAGGGGAGCGUUCUAAGGACAGUGAAGUCAGACCGGAAGGACUGGUGGAGUGCUUAGAAGUGAGAAUGCCGGUAUGAGUAGCGAAAGACGGGUGAGAAUCCCGUCCACCGAAUGCCUAAGGUUUCCUGAGGAAGGCUCGUCCGCUCAGGGUUAGUCAGGACCUAAGCCGAGGCCGACAGGCGUAGGCGAUGGACAACAGGUUGAUAUUCCUGUACCACCUCUUUAUCGUUUGAGCAAUGGAGGGACGCAGAAGGAUAGAAGAAGCGUGCGAUUGGUUGUGCACGUCCAAGCAGUUAGGCUGAUAAGUAGGCAAAUCCGCUUAUCGUGAAGGCUGAGCUGUGAUGGGGAAGCUCCUUAUGGAGCGAAGUCUUUGAUUCCCCGCUGCCAAGAAAAGCUUCUAGCGAGAUAAAAGGUGCCUGUACCGCAAACCGACACAGGUAGGCGAGGAGAGAAUCCUAAGGUGUGCGAGAGAACUCUGGUUAAGGAACUCGGCAAAAUGACCCCGUAACUUCGGGAGAAGGGGUGCUUUCUUAACGGAAAGCCGCAGUGAAUAGGCCCAAGCGACUGUUUAGCAAAAACACAGCUCUCUGCGAAGCCGUAAGGCGAAGUAUAGGGGGUGACACCUGCCCGGUGCUGGAAGGUUAAGGAGAGGGGUUAGCGUAAGCGAAGCUCUGAACUGAAGCCCCAGUAAACGGCGGCCGUAACUAUAACGGUCCUAAGGUAGCGAAAUUCCUUGUCGGGUAAGUUCCGACCCGCACGAAAGGUGUAACGAUUUGGGCACUGUCUCAACCAGAGACUCGGUGAAAUUAUAGUACCUGUGAAGAUGCAGGUUACCCGCGACAGGACGGAAAGACCCCGUGGAGCUUUACUGUAGCCUGAUAUUGAAUUUUGGUACAGUUUGUACAGGAUAGGCGGGAGCCUUUGAAACCGGAGCGCUAGCUUCGGUGGAGGCGCUGGUGGGAUACCGCCCUGACUGUAUUGAAAUUCUAACCUACGGGUCUUAUCGACCCGGGAGACAGUGUCAGGUGGGCAGUUUGACUGGGGCGGUCGCCUCCUAAAGUGUAACGGAGGCGCCCAAAGGUUCCCUCAGAAUGGUUGGAAAUCAUUCGUAGAGUGCAAAGGCAUAAGGGAGCUUGACUGCGAGACCUACAAGUCGAGCAGGGACGAAAGUCGGGCUUAGUGAUCCGGUGGUUCCGCAUGGAAGGGCCAUCGCUCAACGGAUAAAAGCUACCCCGGGGAUAACAGGCUUAUCUCCCCCAAGAGUCCACAUCGACGGGGAGGUUUGGCACCUCGAUGUCGGCUCAUCGCAUCCUGGGGCUGUAGUCGGUCCCAAGGGUUGGGCUGUUCGCCCAUUAAAGCGGUACGCGAGCUGGGUUCAGAACGUCGUGAGACAGUUCGGUCCCUAUCCGUCGUGGGCGUAGGAAAUUUGAGAGGAGCUGUCCUUAGUACGAGAGGACCGGGAUGGACGCACCGCUGGUGUACCAGUUGUUCUGCCAAGGGCAUAGCUGGGUAGCGUAUGUGCGGAAGGGAUAAGUGCUGAAAGCAUCUAAGCAUGAAGCCCCCCUCAAGAUGAGAUUUCCCAUAGCGUAAGCUAGUAAGAUCCCUGAAAGAUGAUCAGGUUGAUAGGUUCGAGGUGGAAGCAUGGUGACAUGUGGAGCUGACGAAUACUAAUAGAUCGAGGACUUAACCAU
rnacentral:rRNA from 1 species